CGUGGUCGCCACUGUCGUUGAUGACGGACUAGGUUGCGUCCUAGCUGCCGAAGCCGCCAUCACCGUGACCUUGUUGCUUCGGGUCAACCAUGUCUCUGCCUCUGAUGAACCUUGUCGUGCCAUAUCUGUUGGAACUACUGUGGUUGGAGCUUGUUAUUAGAGAAAGCAAUUUGCUGCCACCAUCUUUCAGUCUAGUCAGCAUCAUCCUUUUUGUUCCAGUUCCAAUGCCAAUUUUCUGUUUCUUAAGCCUUUGUCAAUUUAUCUCCUGAGCAAUCACAAUUGGUGUUGAGGUCGUUGAUGUUGCUGCUGUUAUGCUAUAGCUAGUCGCAAGAGUUUUACUA